GNAGGUGGCAAGCGUUGUCCGGAAUCACUGGGUGUAAAGGGAGCGCAGGCGGGUGAUCAAGUCAGCUGUGAAAACUACGGGCUUAACCCGUAGACUGCAGUUGAAACUGUUCAUCUUGAGUGAAGUAGAGGUUGGCGGAAUUCCGAGUGUAGCGGUGAAAUGCGUAUAUAUUCGGAGGAACACCGGUGGCGAAGGCGGCCAACUGGGCUUUAACUGACGCUGAGGCGCGAAAGUGUGGGGAGCAAACAGGAUUAGAUACCCUGGUAGUCCACACUGUAAACGAUGAUUGCUAGGUGUGGGGGGUCUGACCCCUUCCGUGCCGGAGCUAACGCAAUAAGCAAUCCACCUGGGGAGU
rnacentral:rRNA from 1 species